GGCGGAUGUAGCCAAGGGGAUCAAGGCAGUGG
rnacentral:tRNA from 1 species